rnacentral:lncRNA from 13 species
UAGACAAAAUAGGCAGGGUUCACACAAAUUGACCACAGCUUUGCCCACCAGAAAAAACCUUGGAUAUAAGAUUCAGUCAGCUGCUUGUCUCAAACAGUCAUGAGAUGCAGAAUUCUUGUAACCAUGGAGACAGCAAAGAGAAGAGAAGGCCAUGCCACUAUCCUUGAGGACUUUAGAUACAAAAGAAAUGAAUCAGAAUGCCAAACCUUGCUCACAACCAUCAGUACCAAAUCCAGAGGCAUAUAGGCCAAACUCUACUAAAUGAAGUUGAACCUGGGUAAGGAGAUAAUCUUUCAGGACACAUCCAAGCAUUAUGUAGAAGAAUCAGGGACAAGAAAAAUGCAGAUGUUCAUUCUCCUGGUGCCUUUCAUGGUUGAUCUGGAUGCUAAACAGUCCUGGCAACUCUCUAUGAAAAAUGCUUCUCUGUCCUUUUCAUCACCCAAGAGAUUUCUAACUUCAUUUUAAAGAAGAUGGAAAGGAAAAUUCUGUGAUUCACUAAUAAAUGUUGCUGUAAUGAUAUGCUAACA